CUUAUUUAACAUUCUGACUUGUACUGAGGGGAUUGUUCAUCUGAUCUCAGAAGCUAAGCAGGGUCGGGCCCGGUUAGUACUUGGAUGGGAGACCACCUAGGAAGACCAGGUUCUAUAGGU
rnacentral:rRNA from 1 species